rnacentral:rRNA from 1 species
UAAAACGUAGGAGGCAAGCGUUAUCCGGAUUUACUGGGCGUAAAGAGGGCGCAGGCGGUUCUGCAAGUUGGAUGUAAAAUCUCCCGGCUUAACCGGGAGGGACCGUUCAAUACUGCUGGACUAGAGGGCAGCAGAGGGAGGUGGAAUUCCCGGUGUAGUGGUGAAAUGCGUAGAUAUCGGGAGGAACACCAGUGGCGAAGGCGGCCUCCUGGGCUGUUGCUGACGCUGAGGCCCGAAAGCGUGGGGAGCGAACAGGAUUAGAUACCCUGGUAGUCCACGCCGUAAACGAUGGACACUAGGUACAGGGAGAUCGACCCUCUCUGCGCCGAAGCUAACGCAUUAAGUGUCCCGCCUGGGGAGUACGGUCGCAAGACUG